AUUGAACGCUGGCGGCAGGCCUAACACAUGCAAGUCGAACGGUAACAGAAAGAAGCUUGCUUCUUUGCUGACGAGUGGCGGACGGGUGAGUAAUGUCUGGGAAACUGCCUGAUGGAGGGGGAUAACUACUGGAAACGGUAGCUAAUACCGCAUAACGUCGCAAGACCAAAGAGGGGGACCUUCGGGCCUCUUGCCAUCGGAUGUGCCCAGAUGGGAUUAGCUUGUUGGUGGGGUAACGGCUCACCAAGGCGACGAUCCAUAGCUGGCCUGGGGGGAUGACCAGCCACACUGGAACUGAGACACGGUCCAGACUCCUACGGGAGGCAGCAGUGGGGAAUAUUGCACAAUGGGCGCAAGCCUGAUGCAGCCAUGCCGCGUGUAUGAAGAAGGCCUUCGGGUUGUAAAGUACUUUCAGCGGGGAGGAAGGGAGUAAAGUUAAUACCUUUGCUCAUUGACGUUACCCGCAGAAGAAGCACCGGCUAACUCCGUGCCAGCCGCCGCCGUAA
rnacentral:rRNA from 1 species